rnacentral:rRNA from 1 species
GACGAACGCUGGCGGCGUGCUUAACACAUGCAAGUCGAACGGAAAGGCCCAGCUUGCUGGGUGCUCGAGUGGCGAACGGGUGAGUAACACGUGGGUGAUCUGCCUCUAACUUCGGGAUAAGCUUGGGAAACUGGGUCUAAUACCGGAUAGGACAAUCGUUUAGUGUCGGUUGUGGAAAGUUUUUUCGGUUAGGGAUGAGCCCGCGGCCUAUCAGCUUGUUGGUGGGGUAAUGGCCUACCAAGGCGUCGACGGGUAGCCGGCCUGAGAGGGUGGACGGCCACAUUGGGACUGAGAUACGGCCCAGACUCCUACGGGAGGCAGCAGUGGGGAAUAUUGCACAAUGGGCGCAAGCCUGAUGCAGCGACGCCGCGUGGGGGAUGACGGCCUUCGGGUUGUAAACCUCUUUCGACAGGGACGAAGCUUUGGUGACGGUACCUGUAUAAGAAGCACCGGCUAACUACGUGCCAGCCGCCGCCGUAA